rnacentral:rRNA from 1 species
UGGGGAAUAUUGGACAAUGGGCGCAAGCCUGAUCCAGCAAUGCCGCGUGUGUGAAGAAGGCCUUCGGGUUGUAAAGCACUUUUAUCAGGAACGAAAAGGUUUCGGUUAAUACCCGGGACUGCUGACGGUACCUGAGGAAUAAGCACCGGCUAACUUCGUGCCAGCAGCCGCGGUAAUACGAAGGGUGCAAGCGUUAGUCGGAAUUACUGGGCGUAAAGCGUGCGUAGGUGGUUUCUUAAGUCCGUUGUGAAAGCCCUGGGCUCAACCUGGGAACUGCAGUGGAUACUGAGAGGCUAGAGUGUGUCAGAGGAUGGUGGAAUUCCCGGUGUAGCGGUGAAAUGCGUAGAGAUCGGGAGGAACAUCAGUGGCGAAGGCGGCCAUCUGGGACAACACUGACGCUGAGGCACGAAAGCGUGGGGAGCAAACAGG